GAGACUAAGUCUAACAGGUCCCCGGGAUUCUAUUUCCUCCCACAAGUCGUUACCCUGAACAUGCAUCCCAACUGUGUCCAAUUAGCAGAUCACAACUCUGACACUGGAGGAGACAGUCCUACACAGAGGUCACAGAAAAGAGCCACAGUGAAGUCUCGUCAGGAGCGUCUCCUCGCCCUGCCAGUGUCCUCAUGCUUCCUCCAGUUCUAGAUUUCCUCCACCGGAUCAUCUUUCCCCAAACGCUGACGUAAUCACACGGGGAAGAAAUGAGCACAGGAGACAUCUGGAGGGACUCGGAAACCCGGAGAGGUGGCCAGCUGAGUCGGCAUUUGUCACGCAGGGAGCGGAAACGGGAACAAGAUCGGCAGAAGGAACGGUGAAAUCACAAAGCCAGGCCGUGUGGCAAUCACCGUGCCCUGCUGUGUAGCAGUAGCAGCACCCGGGUGAAGCUCUCACACAGUCCAAUAUUCAUCUUGUCCACAAAGCUACAAGAGAGAACCAGGAUGGAGCCAAGUCCAAGGCUGAAGGCUCCUAAGUUCCCUGGAGGAUUUGGUGUGAGUGUGCAUGCAAAAGCUGAAGAAUCAAGAGUGUGGUGCCCAGGGUAAUGAAGCCACCAAGAAAUACACCUGCUCAAGAAAAACGAGGCUUGCACUGAAGGACUAGCCAAGCCCCCUGCAUCUUUCAGGUUUUGUUCCAUCCCACCCCACCCCCAGUCUAUUGGACAGUGGCCAUAAAGGCGGUUCUGGGAAAAUUCCCCACCGUUGCUGAAAUGAACACUAUCAGGGAGCUCUCAAGAACUCCUAGUAAGCAUCUGCAUUUAUGUAAGAUGUGCUUCGAAAUUCUUCCAGUGUCACUGCCAGUCAGCUCUAGACAUGCCCCCCGCGGACACACCCAGAAGUGGCCUUUACCCAUUUUCUAGACAUCACACAAUUCUAUCAAGUUGAGGAUUAAGUAACGCAGAUAAAAGUGUCACCUUUUGCCAAGGAUGUUUGGUUACAUUCCGGGAUAGAGAGAAAUCUCUCUCCAAAGGGCAGAAGGCAAACCAACAGUGUGAUGAGCUCAGGAUCCACUGAUUUGGAGGUAACACCUGGCCCCAUCCCAUCAUCAUCUGGACAUUGUAAGGAGUUGUACUUAAUGCUGCUGUGGAUGUUCUUCUUGCUAUGAGGGAUAAUGGAUGCCUCUCUUCAUGGGUCUUCUGCCCACCCAUCAUAUGCUUAUAAAGGAGGAUUUGGAACCGACAAAGAAUCCCGCUUCUGAACAGAUCCGCGGAGGACAUUCCCAGGAAGGACUAACUGAGAGGGGUGAGACUCUCCAAGAGUGAGCAGCACCUUUUGGCAUAAGAGGCCUGAGAGGCCCAGCUACAAAGAGGUCUGAGGAAAAGGCGGGGCUCCUUCUUUCUCCGACUUCCCUUAUUGUGAGGGAGUGGACCCACCCUGUUGUUGCGGCGGCUGUCAACAGAAUUAUGUUGUGUUGGUUUGGUUGUCUGAAUAAGAAUGGUCCCC